rnacentral:rRNA from 1 species
UUAUACCGUGAAACUGCGAAUGGCUCAUUAAAUCAGUUAUCGUUUAUUUGAUAGUACCUUACUACUUGGAUAACCGUGGUAAUUCUAGAGCUAAUACAUGCUGAAAACCCCGACUUCGGAAGGGGUGUAUUUAUUAGAUAAAAAACCAAUGCCCCUUCGGGGYUCCUUGGUGAUUCAUAAUAACUUCUCAGAUCGCAUGGCCUUGCGCCGGCGACGGUUCAUUCAAAUUUCUGCCCUAUCAACUUUCGAUGGUAAGGUAUUGGCUUACCAUGGUUUCAACGGGUAACGGGGAAUUAGGGUUCGAUUCCGGAGAAGGCGCCCGAGAAACGGCGGCUACAUCCAAGGAAGGCAGCAGGCGCGCAAAUUACCCAAUCCCGACACGGGGAGGUAGUGACAAUAAAUACUGAUACAGGGCUCUUUUGGGUCUUGUAAUUGGAAUGAGUACAAUUUAAACCUCUUAACGAGGAACAAUUGGAGGGCAAGUCUGGUGCCAGCAGCCGCGGUAAUUCCAGCUCCAAUAGCGUAUAUUAAAGUUGUUGCAGUUAAAAAGCUCGUAGUUGAACCUUUGGCCUGGCUGGCAGGUCCGCCUCACCGCGUGCACUUGUCCGGCCGGGCCUUCUUUUCUGGAGAACCGCAUGCCCUUCACUGGGUGUGUUGGGGACCAGGACUUUUACUUUGAAAAAAUUAGAGUGUUCAAAGCAGGCCUUUGCUCGAAUACGUUAGCAUGGAAUAAUAGAAUAGGACGUGCGGUCCUAUUUUGUUGGUUUCUAGGACCGCCGUAAUGAUUAAUAGGGACAGUCGGGGGCAUCAGUAUUCAAUUGUCAGAGGUGAAAUUCUUGGAUUUAUUGAAGACUAACUACUGCGAAAGCAUUUGCCAAGGAUGUUUUCAUUAAUCAGUGAACGAAAGUUAGGGGAUCGAAGACGAUCAGAUACCGUCGUAGUCUUAACCAUAAACUAUGCCGACUAGGGAUCGGGCGGUGUUAUUAUUUUGACUCGCUCGGCACCUUACGAGAAAUCAAAG